CCUACGGGGGGCAGCAGUCGGGAAUAUUGCGCAAUGGAGGAAACUCUGACGCAGUGACGCCGCGUGCAGGAAGAAGGUUUUCGGAUUGUAAACUGCUUUAGACAGGGAAGAAAAAAGACAGUACCUGUAGAAUAAGCUCCGGCUAACUACGUGCCAGCAGCCGCGGUAAUACGUAGGGAGCAAGCGUUAUCCGGAUUUAUUGGGUGUAAAGGGUGCGUAGACGGAGAAGCAAGUUAGUUGUGAAAUCCCUCGGCUUAACUGAGGAACUGCAACUAAAACUACUUCCCUUGAGUACUGGAGAGGAAAGUGGAAUUCCUAGUGUAGCGGUGAAAUGCGUAGAUAUUAGGAGGAACACCAGUGGCGAAGGCGACUUUCUGGACAGUAACUGACGUUGAGGCACGAAAGUGUGGGGAGCAAACAGGAUUAGAUACCCUAGUA
rnacentral:rRNA from 1 species